GUGCUUGCUUCAGCAGCACGUAUACUAAAAUUGCAAUGAUACAGAGAAGAUUAGCACGGCCCCUGUGCAAGGACGACACACAAAUUCGUGAAGAAUACCAUAUUUUC